ACCAUCCUUUUCUUGGGGUUGCGCUACUGUUCAAUGAACGUUUAGUGAGAACAGUACUGCUAACGCCAUAACAACACACUCGCACCAACUAAAGCUUAGCUUUACUUUGGUGCAAUUUUUGGAAAA